rnacentral:rRNA from 2 species
GAUUGAUUUUGGUCGCCAACGAGUGGCGGACGGGUGAGUAACACGUAGGUAACCUGCCCAGAAGCGGGGGACAACAUUUGGAAACAGAUGCUAAUACCGCAUAACANCGUUGUUCGCAUGAACAACGCUUAAAAGAUGGCUUCUCGCUAUCACUUCUGGAUGGACCUGCGGUGCAUUAGCUUGUUGGUGGGGUAANGGCCUACCAAGGCGAUGAUGCAUAGCCGAGUUGAGAGACUGAUCGGCCACAAUGGGACUGAGACACGGCCCAUACUCCUACGGGAGGCAGCAGUAGGGAAUCUUCCACAAUGGGCGCAAGCCUGAUGGAGCAACACCGCGUGAGUGAAGAAGGGUUUCGGCUCGUAAAGCUCUGUUGUUAAAGAAGAACACGUAUGAGAGUAACUGUUCAUACGUUGACGGUAUUUAACCAGAAAGUCACGGNUNCUACGUGCCAGCAGCCGCGGUAAUACA